CUUCCCUCUAUAAAAUGCCCUCUCCCUGCUCUCCUUAAACCCAUCCAUCGCCACUCUGCCUCGCAAUCCCUCUCUCUCUCUCUCUCCUCUCUUCUCUCUUCUCUCUCUACAACAAUGGCCAGAUUCAGCAGCGUCGUUUUGGUGCUAAUGGCUUCUAUCUUGUUGGCCUCAACAAGGGCACAAUCCCCUACAUCGUCACCAGCCAAGUCCCCUGUGCUCUCUCCCAAAAAAGCUGCUGCCCCUUCUCCAUCGAGCACUCCACCCAAGGCUUCGCCUUCUCCUUUGAGCACUCCACCGUCGGCUGCUCCUUCUCAGUCUCCCGUCGCAGGCUCUCCACCUUCUCCCCCAUCCGCUUCCCCUGAAUCUCCAGCGAUCCCUCCAUCUUCAGUCUCUGGAUCGCCCUCUGAGGCUCCCGCACCCACCACCAACGGCGCCGUUUUGAAUAGAUUCUCCGCCGCCGGAUCUGUGGCCGCUGUGGUUUUCGCUGCUGUCUUGGUUAUGUAGAGUGGGUUUUUAAUUACGAGUAUUUUUAGUGAGAGUUUAUGGAUUUUUAUUUAUUCAUUAAUUCUUGUACCGAUUCAAUUUAUUUGUUUUUUUUAAUGCUUAAAUUUAAUUAAAUGGAGACAUUUUAUUUAAUUAUUGAAUCCAAUUUUGUGGUGUCAAAUGACAUUUCCAGC
rnacentral:lncRNA from 1 species